UGGCGCUCGGUGUAGGUGGCCAUGGUGGACCUGAAGCUGGCUGAGAUAAGCGAUGGGGUCAGUGUUGUGCUCCUCCCGUUCUCAUUAACCAAAUAGUGCAGACUGUGGUUGUAUGACUCGUGUAUAUAUCCACUUGGACCACCAAAAUCAAACUGAUAGCAAGAACUUGAUAUGGUGCUAAGUUAUAGUUCGUAAACAGAUCCAUAUUAGUUUAGAGAUCCGCACAAAAAAUUUAUACAUUCAGAAUGACCACCAAAAUCCAGCAGUACAAUUAACUAGAUUGGAACAAUUUAUUUGAUUAAUAUGUGCACAUGAAACAACAAAUUAACCCGUGUGAACUAUCCACAUCGGUCUGAGUUAUGAUGAACUUUUUGAUCUUUUUAUUAACCACAUCAGUGGUCUAAAAGAAUUAAUGAGUAGCAACACAGACUAAGAAAUUGCUAUUUAUCUUAUCUAUGCUAAGAAAUCGGAGACUGGAUUUACCAACAUGGAAGGAUUCCUCAAGAGCACAUUAGCACCUGAAGCUGCUGCUGUCGCAGCUCUACAAUUUUUCUUCUUUCUAGACGCCCGACAGCCCGAGCAUGCAAGAGCAGCAGCACAAGCAGGUCGUGCUGUGCAACAUCAGCAGAGCGCUCUCAGUGCAGCGGAACUACUCGGGCGUCUCUGACGACAGCAUAUUUGAUACUGAAGUUGAAGAUUGUAGUGCGGCAUUCGUAAUAGUAAUAAUUACAUGUAGGCCUAUUUUUGAAUGCCUAUUUUUCAGUUGUUUUGCGAAUUAGACCAAAGAGUAAUGAUUGUUGUUAUCUUGUUGUAGAUCAAAGAUGCCAAGAAGACAACUAAUGUGCCAGGAGGUGCAGGUACUAACAGCAGUUGCCUCUACUUGUUGAAGCUUUAGAUUUUUAUUUCCUCUUUAAAUAGAUCAUAGAUGGUAACCUCAGCUUCAUCCUCAAUGGCUCGUGAUAUUGUAGUAUCUCUUCAUCUAAUUUAUACAUUAGAAGUAAACUGAAUGUGUCAAGACAAUGUACAAAGAAGUGCAACAUAACUACAUAAGGCCCAGCCAUGUUUCCUCUAUAGCAUAUAAAAGUUCAGUACAAUCUACUACUGCCAGUUCUUAAAUAUUAUUACAACCUACAACUCUUAAUAUCUGACAAGCCCAUCUCUUUAUAAACUACUACGGUCUGUUCUUAAAUAUAACAAGCUACAACUACUACUAUGAGUUGUUAACAGAUAAUAUUGCUGAUCAGGAAUCCUAUCUUAUGGUAUUUAUUGCCAAGUUUGUAGGCAUCAUCUUAUCCUUUAUAACCUGUUUCAGACUCACAGAGCUGCCAUGUUAGCUUAUUAACUUGCCACCAGUCUGAACUUUUGAGCUCCAGAAUAGAAUAUUGUAAUUCCGAUGGUGUCGUGCGGCUCAAUUAAGAAACGAUUCUGCGGAAACAUAUUGAUAAUCCAUGUCCUGAUCUUGGUCAAAUAUGUUACAUACUUGAAAAUAGCCACAUCCUAAUUCUGCAUCCUUUCCCCUUGCAUUAGUUUAGUUUGUUUGUUGCCAUACUAAGCUUAUUUUUGAGAACGUGUUUUACUCGUCAUAAGCAUUUCUGUAGCAUAUAUGCACAAGUAGAUUUUCUGGGAAUGCUCUUGCUAAUAAUUCUGGGACAUGAAACCAAUAGGAACUCAAGUGUGUUGAUCAAAUGAUGUUGACAAAAAUAGCAGAACAUUGUUUCCUGUGGUGAUUGAUUCCUGUGGAGAAGGAAGCCCGCAACACUACACUUCACCGCAUAGGAACAAAUAUAUUUGUGUGUAUUCAUGGUCAUAUAAUAAUGUUACUCUCACAUGAACAAUCAAGUAUAAGCUAGCAUGUGCCGCUCUAGCCUAACAAUCUUCAUAUGAGCUUUGAACAACUUUUGGAAUGAUUGCACUUUCGUGACAAAUUCAUAUGGAAUAUUUUCAGGUACUUAGCCACACCUAGCAUUGGAUGUGAGGAGGACUUGGAGUGUCAUGGAACACAUAUGGCUGUUCACAGUAUUUUGGACCAACCAACUUCAAUCAUUUUUCUUGAAUCUUAUGUGUGUUCUGGACCAUUUGGUGUUUCAAGUGUUUUGGAGUAGAAACUUUGUGCUCAUGUAUGUGAUUUGUGUGUUCUGGACCAUUGUUUGAAUUAGUUCAGACUAGCAAAUAGUGGCCCUUUUUAUGUGACUUGUGUGUUCUGGAUGGUCAAACUAUGCUUGUGAACCUGUGUGAAUAUAUAUUUAUGUAUGGUUGUGAACCUAUCAUCAUUGU
rnacentral:lncRNA from 1 species